rnacentral:lncRNA from 1 species
CUGGAAGAAUUUUUUGUUAUGGAAGUGUUCUGGAAGAUGAAAUAGUAACAUGGUUAUCGUAUUCUAAUGAAUAUUCUCGCAAAGGAGUGAAACUAAAGAGAUGAAAACUGAAGGAGUCUUUUAUUAGCAUUUAAUCACCUAACACUGUUAAAGCUCUUGGCCUUAUAUUGUUAGUGCUUAUCCAUGUCAUCGAAAAGAACGAUUUUUAUUGGGAUGUUAUAAUGGUGACGUCGUAUCACUGUUACACUAAAUAUUUACUCAUUGUUGCGG